rnacentral:misc_RNA from 1 species
CGACAACUGUCCAACAUUUCGAUCGGAGUGGGAUGCGCUUCUUUUGUCCUCCUGUUUACCUUCAUCGUUCUCUACUACACGGUUAUUCUCUAUUCAUUCUCUGACUGAGGUUCAUGAAAAAACUGUCCAAUAUGUUAUCAGGAUACGUAAUAUUACCACUAUAGUAAUUUAUUCAUGAUAUUUUUAGUUCAUUACAAUUAAGAGCAAGGUUUGUGAACGUUUCGUGAACAUGUUUGCAUAAUACAUUAGUUACCAAUGUUGACAUCAAACUGCAUUAGCGCUUGCCUGUUAGAGAUCAUAAUAUAAUUUUUUUUAAUUUUAUUGUUCGGUUGACUUUUUGUGGAUGUAAAAGCUUUGAGACAUGUUUUUUUAUGUCUAACUAAAAGGUUCAGUACCUUACUAUUCACAACUAAGUAUUCGUCAGAAUCCGAAGUAUAUGUUGAUACAAUCAUGUAACGACUAUUACUUGCAUGUAUUUGUUAUUCUAUUUGAUUUGUCUCUGACUUAUCAAUUUAUAUUUACAUGCUUUUGCUGGCACAGUCAUUGUGUAUAUACAACGUAUAUGGUGUAAUAAAACCAUUUUUGAAACAGU